AACGAACGCUGGCGGCAGGCUUAACACAUGCAAGUCGAGCGCCCCGCAAGGGGAGCGGCAGACGGGUGAGUAACGCGUGGGAAUCUACCCAUCUCUACGGAAUAACGCAUGGAAACGUGUGCUAAUACCGUAUACGUCCUUCGGGAGAAAGAUUUAUCGGAGAUGGAUGAGCCCGCGUUGGAUUAGCUAGUUGGUGGGGUAAAGGCCUACCAAGGCGACGAUCCAUAGCUGGUCUGAGAGGAUGAUCAGCCACACUGGGACUGAGACACGGCCCAGGCUCCUACGGGAGGCAGCAGUGGGGAAUAUUGGACAAUGGGCGCAAGCCUGAUCCAGCCAUGCCGCGUGAGUGAUGAAGGCCCUAGGGUUGUAAAGCUCUUUCACCGGUGAAGAUAAUGACGGUAACCGGAGGAGAAGCCCCGGCUAACUUCGUGCCAGCAGCCGCAGUAAAAC
rnacentral:rRNA from 1 species